rnacentral:misc_RNA from 1 species
UGAAGGGCUUCCUUCAACAAAGGUUUUGCAUCCAUAACAGUUGUGGCAUCGUAGUUGAUGCCAAUAUAUUUAUCUGCAGCAGGAUUCCACUCCUGGACAUCCAUACCAUUUACGAUACCGCUAAUGCCAGUUCUACGAACGAUGUUAUCCAGCUCCACGCCUCUUUCAACUCCAGAAAUAAGCUCCUGGGCAUAGUAUGGGCUCACAGUCAAAACCCUGUCUGAUUCCAAUAUUCCAGCCUUCAUCCAAUUGAUUUUCCUUCCCCUAAUAGGCUUGUCAUACCCAUCGAUAAAGUCAAAAGAGCUCUU